AACGCACAUUGCGCCCUUUGGUAUUCCAAAGGGCAUGCCUGUUCGAGCGUCAUUUGUACCCUCAAGCUUUGCUUGGUGUUGGGCGUCUUUUGUCUCCAGUUCGCUGGAGACUCGCCUUAAAGUCAUUGGCAGCCGGCCUACUGGUUUCGGAGCGCAGCACAAGUCGCGCUCUUUGCCAGCCAAGGUCAGCGUCCAGCAAGCCUUUUUUUCAACCUUUGACCUCGGAUCAGGUAGGGAUACCCGCUGAACUUAA
rnacentral:misc_RNA from 1 species